AUUGAACGCUGGCGGCAGGCCUAACACAUGCAAGUCGAACGAGUGGCGGACGGGUGAGUAAUGUCUGGGAAACUGCCUGAUGGAGGGGGAUAACUACUGGAAAAGGUAGCUAAUACCGCAUACCCUCGGAUGUGCCCAGAUGGGAUUGGCUUGUUGGGGGGGUAACGGCUCACCACGGCGAGGAUCCCUAGCUGGUCUGAGAGGAGGACCAGCCACAUGGGAACGGAGACACGGGCCAGAGUCCUACGGGAGGAAGCAGUGGGGAAUAUUGCAAAAGGGGCGCAAGCCUGAUGCAGCCAUGCCGGGUGUAUGAAGAAGGCCUUCGGGUUGUAAAGUACUUUCAGCGGGGAGGCGUUACCCGCAGAAGAAGCACCGGCUAACUCCGUGCCAGCAGCCGCGGUAAUAC
rnacentral:rRNA from 1 species